GUCGAGGGGCAGCACGAUGUAGCAAUACAUUGGUGGCGACCGGCGCACGGGUGAGUAACGCGUAUGCAACCUACCUAUCAGAGGGGAAUAACCCGGCGAAAGUCGGACUAAUACCGCAUAAAACAGGGGUUCCACAUGGAAAUAUUUGUUAAAGAAUUAUCGCUGAUAGAUGGGCAUGCGUUCCAUUAGAUAGUUGGUGAGGUAACGGCUCACCAAGUCCACGAUGGAUAGGGGUUCUGAGAGGAAGGUCCCCCACACUGGUACUGAGACACGGACCAGACUCCUACGGGAGGCAGCAGUGAGGAAUAUUGGUCAAUGGGCGAGAGCCUGAACCAGCCAAGUCGCGUGAAGGAUGAAGGAUCUAUGGUUUGUAAACUUCUUUUAUAUGGGAAUAAAGUGAGGAACGUGUUCCUUUUUGUAUGUACCAUAUGAAUAAGCAUCGGCUAACUCCGUGCCAGCAGCCGCGGUAAUACGGAGGAUGCGAGCGUUAUCCGGAUUUAUUGGGUUUAAAGGGUGCGUAGGUGGUUAAUUAAGUCAGCGGUGAAAGUUUGUGGCUCAACCAUAAAAUUGCCGUUGAAACUGGUUGACUUGAGUAUAUUUGAGGUAGGCGGAAUGCGUGGUGUAGCGGUGAAAUGCAUAGAUAUCACGCAGAACUCCGAUUGCGAAGGCAGCUUACUAAACUAUAACUGACACUGAAGCACGAAAGCGUGGGGAUCAAACAGGAUUAGAUACCCUGGUAGUCCACGCAGUAAACGAUGAUUACUAGCUGUUUGCGAUACACAGUAAGCGGCACAGCGAAAGCGUUAAGUAAUCCACCUGGGGAGUACGCCGGCAACGGUGAAACUCAAAGGAAUUGACGGGGGCCCGCACAAGCGGAGGAACAUGUGGUUUAAU
rnacentral:rRNA from 1 species